UACGGAGGGGGCUAGUGUUGUUCGGAAUUACUGGGCGUAAAGCGUGCGCAGGCGGUCUUUUAAGUCAGAUGUGAAAUCCCCGGGCUUAACCUGGGAACUGCGUUUGAAACUGAAAGGCUAGAGUGUGGCAGAGGGGGGUGGAAUUCCACGUGUAGCAGUGAAAUGCGUAGAGAUGUGGAGGAACACCGAUGGCGAAGGCAGCCCCCUGGGCUAACACUGACGCUCAUGCACGAAAGCGUGGGGAGCAAACAGG
rnacentral:rRNA from 1 species